GAGAAUUGGUUGAAUCCAGGAGGCAGAGGUUGCAGUGAGCCGAGAUCACACCACUGCACUCCAGCCUGGGCAACACAGAGAGACUCCGUUUCAUAAAUAAAUAAAUAAAACCUAGAAACUCUGGGCAUGUGGGGCUGGAAAGGGGUUCCAGGAAGAGAGGGCAGCCUGCGUGACCAGACAGGGGGCAAAUGAGCCUGGGUCAGGUGUUGGCAAGGGCCCUGUCGUGGGGUAGGAGUGCCUCCCGGGUGUGCUGAACUGGCCAGAAUGUGGAUUCGGGACUCAUAGUGCAGGUUCCAGGCCAGACCCUGCCCUUCCUGGCUGUGUGCCAGUCACAGCAAGUCACUUCCUCUCUCUGAGUCUUGAGUUUCUCUCUAGGAAAUCCCAAACCUUUCCCAGGGCUCAGCAGAGCUGGCAGACUGGUCACCCACCACCUAAAAUGGGGACACUGAGGCCCAGCACAGGCUGUUUGUCAUGUCCACACCUCUCAGGGCCCCCAGCCUUCCCCAGCCAGAACUGAGCACCAGGUGAGGGCUGGACAUGGAGGAAGGCCGUUCGUGCACAGGAGCAUGUAUGCUGACAAACACGUGUGCACACACAUGCCCACCGUGCAGGGAAGGCCCUCAUAGUCAUGCUAGCCCCAGACAUGCACACUCUUGCUGUCACCCAAACACGCGCAGACACCCGCACACUCGAGCUGCCAGCAUUGGGAGCUGGGGGCGGGGCGGGUGCCCUUCAGGAGCAGGGACUCGGCUCCUCUGCCCGCCCCGCGGGGCUUGCUGCAGAUGCCAGGGGUUAUUUUAAGCCUGGAUCAAUGGAUGAGUUUUGGUGACACAGGCUUAGUGGUAGUGGAGGGGGGCAGGCAGAAGAGAUAAGGGGUGGCUGCCCUGGAGCCUUGAUGGGGUGAGAGACCCCGGGGUCCAGGGCAAAGGGGUCACUCCUCGGCCGGGCUGCUCUAUCUCCAGAUCCCCUCACCCGGCACAUGGCCAGGCACCUGGGGCAGUGUCAGCUGAAUGGGCGAUCAGAUCCCAGGACUCAGCCAGUCAGGGUCAGCUGGGCUCUGUGUUCACAGCUGCCCUCUCCUGCUCCACUCACUCCCCGCGGCCAGGUGUUCCCAUGGAGAGAAGAGGGUAUCCAGUGCCUGGCACAGACCCAGUAGUUAUGGUUACCUAUGGCUGCUGGCUGACCACUGAAUCAGAUUGAGACGGGGAGGAAGGAAUGGCCCUAAGGAAAGGAAGCAGGAAAGGACGCUCCAGAAAGUAGAGCUCAGAAGCUCUGAGAAGAAUCACAAAUGAGAAGGUUUUUUUUUGUUUUUUUUUUUUUGUUUGUUUGUUUGUUUUUUUAAGACGGAGUCUCAAUCUGUUUCCCAGGCUGGAGGGCAAUGGUGUGAUCUCAGCUCACUGCAAACUCUGCCUCCCAGGUUCAAGCGAUUCUCUGGCCUCAGCCUUCCGAGUAGCUGGGAUUACAGGCAUAUGCCACCAUGCCCAGCUAAUUUUUGUAUUUUUAGUAGAGGUGGGGUUUCACCAUGUUGGUCAGCCUAGUCUCCAACUCCUGACCUUGUGAUCCACCUGCCUCAGCCUCCCAAAGUGUUGGGAUUACAGGCGUGAGCCACUGCCCCCAGCCAAACGAAAAGUUUAAGGAUGGCAAAAAGUAAACCACAAACUAGUUACAAUCCAGCAUGUAAAUGUGGCAUAUUUUAGUGUGGUUGUCUCUGGACAUGGGAUUAAAGCAAUUUCAUUUAA